GGCAGAGACGGCUCUGAUCUGAGCUAAACUGUGUUUCUCUCACUGGCCUUAUCUGAGCCAUCCUUCCCUAAUUCUGGGCUCCAGGAUCAGGAAUUGAAAACUGGUUCACUCAAAGGGAGUGUCUUUAAGCUGGAAGCUGAUAUGCCACAGAGUCAGUGUUUGUGGAGAGAAGUCGUAUAAUCAGAUGUUUGAGCUCAAGGAGGAGGAACUGGUUCCUCUGAGAAGACCAAAGACAAUGAAUUAAAACUAUCCUUUGCAAAAAUACUGGCUUACUCAGCUAGGCUGCAAAAGCUACAUCCAUUAUGAAGGGUACUACAUGGCUUGGAGAUGACUCUGUCUACUGUGGCGGGAAUCCUUCAUGCUGCAGGUCAAGCCCACACACUGCAAACCAGCCAUAAUAUAGCUCAGGCCCACAGGCUGUGGCUGGCCUGAGAGACACAGGGUACCAUGACUGAAUCUUGAUGGCUUUAUAAAAAGAAGAACCAACAACUAGCCACAAACAGAGAUAUAUGUAUCCCUCGUCUCCUGUCAUAAAUUGUUCUCUGCCAUCUUAGAGUGCUGCUAAUAAGAAGAUCUCCAUCAAACCGAGCUGCUGCCAACACGAGUCAUUCAUUGUGCCUCCAAACUGUGAUCUUAGCUGCACUCCUCUUGCCUUCUGAAGUUAGCAUACCUCAGACUGAUCACUGUAGUAAGAGAGAUAACAGGACUGAAUGUCCACUUCCUACAAGUCUUUUGUUGAAGCUUUGAAGAUACUUAACCUGUA